GGAGUCUAUCAUGUGCGCAAGUAAUUUGGAAGUUUCACAUGAAACCUGAAUGCACAAUGAAAGUAAAGGAAACGGUAUCGUGGCAUGUGUGUGUGUGUGUAUCUCCUUUGGGACGGUGCACGCGCUGCCUUGUCAUCGUUCCGUUCUGAUGGAAGAUGAGCUUCUAUGCUCCGGCAUAUUAGCACCGCACUCCAGGGGCGUUUUAUUCUCAUUGCGAGACGAGGCGCACCAAGAGCGUACACGCUGGGACCCGAAAGAUGGUGAACUAUGCCUGGUCAGGAUGAAGUCAGGGGAAACCCUGAUGGAGGUCCGUAGCGAUUCUGACGUGCAAAUCGAUCGUCGGAACUAGGUAUAGGGGCGAAAGACUAAUCGAACCAUCUAGUAGCUGGUUCCCUCCGAAGUUUCCCUCAGGAUAGCUGGCGCUUGAUGAGUUUCAUCUGGUAAAGCGAAUGAUUAGAGGCAUUGGGGUCGAAACGACCUCGACCUAUUCUCAAACUUUAAAUGGGUGAGAUCUGCGGCUUGCUUAACUGAAGCCGUAGUUUCUAGUAUUUUUGUGUUGGAAUAAGAAUCUAAGUGCCAAGUGGGCCAUUUUUGGUAAGCAGAACUGGCGCUGUGGGAUGAACCAAACGUAGAGUUAAAGCGCCUAAAUCGACGCUUAUGGGAUACCAUGAAAGGCGUUGGUAACUUAAGACAUCAGGACGGUGACCAUGGAAGUC
rnacentral:rRNA from 1 species